rnacentral:lncRNA from 1 species
AAAUGUAUUGCCAUUGUCCUUUAAGCCCUGCUUUUUUACUUGAAAACAACCAGUAAACGUAUUAAAUGUGUCGUUCAUAUCUGCAUAAUUUUUUAAGCAUCGCCCCAAACUUCACUCACAAACGUAAUAAAACCGCUAUUAUUAAAACAAUAUAUCAAUAACAUUGACCUACCUUGCUGAGAAUGAAAGACCAGUUGAAAUGAAAGGACAGUUAAGUGAAAGACCACGAUAAAACGACACAAUAAACCAACAAAAUUAUGUCUGAAAAUCCGAAUUCAGCAAUAGCAGAGGAAAAGACAGUGAGGACUAUACCGGCA